rnacentral:lncRNA from 1 species
UAUGAUUCAUCUUUGUCAUCCCCAAUCCUCAUCUCUGAUUACCAAUAAACCUAACCAUGACCCAUCAUCUUUGUCACCAACAACCAUACUCUAAAAACAAACCUGCAACAAUUAUAUAAAACCUCAAUCCCCAAACACCAUGUAUCGAAUUCAGAGUAAGAGAAAUUAGCUAUGAAACAAUGCUAAUUUUCAGAAUUUUUCGAUUGGAUUCUCUACAGCUGCAACCAAGGGGCGGAUUCUCUACAGUGAUGCAUUUCUUCCACAACGCCAAUAGUUAAAAGCCAGACCUGAAGACGAAAGUUGAAACCCAGGGAUCGAAGUUGGCGAUAGUUAAAACUUAAAACCCAAAUCUAAACCAUCCUGUCGGCCGCUGGAAAUACGAGAGUUAAAGACGAAACAAAGAUCCAUUAAGGUUAGCUUAAUGACAGUCGAAAUCUUGUUGGAAAAACGAGCGCCGUGGUGGUCGGCCCGGUGACGAGUGGGUGGUCGUGGGACUAUGGUGUUGUGGUGUUGGGCGUGGUGGUUUGAGUGAUGGUCGUUGCAGCGAUGGUUUGGUGGCGGUUCACGGUGGGUGGCUGGAGAUCGUUGAUGAGGGAGGGGAGGCGGAGGUGAGAUGAUGGCAGUGGUAUGACGGGGAUGGUGGUGGUGUGUGGCGGAGGUGGGUGGUAACAGGUAGAGGACUAGAGGUAGGUGGUGGGGGUUGUAUGGUCUGCUGGUGGUAAUGGUUUGCUGUGUGGUUUGCAGGUAAGAAAGAUUAUGUAAGAGUUCAUUGUUAUUAUAACACCACCUACCCCUUAUUCAUCCAAACCCAGUUGUAUUGAAAUGGAAAUGACCAAAUUGCCCAUCAUGUGACAAGCAUGUGCUUCCGUUAACUGCAUAAAACAAACGCCGUUUGAAAAGUGGACUGAAAUGGUUAUGAAAAUGAAACUAAUGGACUGAAAUCGCAAUUUUUAAACUAAUGGACUGAAACCGUUAUUUUUGACAAACCUCAAGGACGAAAACAGUAAUUAACUCAAAAAACUAUUUCUAUAACUGUUACGUACGUACUAUGGGGUAGCUGAAGUACUUCAGAAACGCAUUUCAAUUAGAGGUGGCAAUAUGAAUGGGUUGGAUUGGAUUGGUUGUUGGGUUAGGAUGAGAUUGGGUUAGAAUGGGUUUGGGUCAGGAUGGGUA